rnacentral:rRNA from 1 species
GAUGAACGCUGGCGGCGUGCCUAAUACAUGCAAGUCGAGCGAAGCGGGGACGGGUGAGUAACACGUGGAUAACCUCCCAUAAGACUGGGAUAACUUCGGGAAACCGGAGCUAAACCGGAUACGUAUAGAUGGAUCUGCGCUGCAUUUGCUAGUGGGUAAGGUAACGGCUUACCAAGGCAACGAUCCAUAGCCGACCUUAGAGGGUUAUCGGCCACACUGGAGCUGAGACACGGUCCAGACUCCGACGGUGGGCAGCAGUAGCGAAUCGUCCGAGAUGGGCGAAAGCCUGCCAGUGCAACUCCGCGUGAGUGAUGAAGGUCUUCGGAUCGUAAAACUCUGUUAUUAGGGAAGCGGUACCUAGUCAGAAAGCCACGGCUAACUACGUGCCAGCAGCCGCGGUAAUAC